rnacentral:misc_RNA from 1 species
UACUGUGGAACUGGAACCAAAACCUGCCAAAAACACAAAAUUUGUAUGAAUACAUCUUGAAAUGGCAUUGGUAUCAAGGAAGGCCUAAAGCAUAAACAAAAUGAAAGGAGCAGGACAAAUGAAGCAGAAGAAACACAUGUUCUAUACUUCCAUCAAAGAGUGCUAUACUUUCACUCAUUGAAGGAAAGUCCAUUACCCCAUCACCUUCACCACGAAUU